rnacentral:rRNA from 1 species
GAAUAUUGGACAAUGGGCGAAAGCCUGAUCCAGCAAUGCCGCGUGAGUGAUGAAGGCCUUAGGGUUGUAAAGCUAUUUUACCCGGGAUGAUAAUGACAGUACCGGGAGAAUAAGCUCCGGCUAACUCCGUGCCAGCAGCCGCGGUAAUACGGAGGGAGCUAGCGUUGUUCGGAAUUACUGGGCGUAAAGCGCACGUAGGCGGCUCAGCAAGUCAGGGGUGAAAUCCCGGGGCUCAACCCCGGAACUGCCCUUGAAACUGCUAAGCUAGAAUCUUGGAGAGGCGAGUGGAAUUCCGAGUGUAGAGGUGAAAUUCGUAGAUAUUCGGAAGAACACCAGUGGCGAAGGCGACUCGCUGGACAAGUAUUGACGCUGAGGUGCGGAAGCGUGGGGAGCAAAC